UCCCUGGUGGCUCAGACAGUAAAGCGUCUGCCUACAAUGCGGGUGGCCCGGGUUCAAUCCCUGGGUCGGGAA
rnacentral:tRNA from 1 species